CCAGGCAUGAUGGAGGGUAUCUUGCUUUGAGGUGGUUUAGCGUCCCACUUGUUCCUUGAGGACAUCUGUUACUACCUAAGAGCACUCACCUGAAGGAGAUGCUCAAAGGUCCAGAAGGGACACGUCUCGGGUGACAAAGCAGGUGGCGAUCAGAGAACAGAGACCCCUAAAGAAUUUUAUGGCAUUCAAGGCAAAGCACAGCCAGCCCGGAGGGAAAGCAAGAGUACAGCCUGGAAAUACAUAGCCCUGCCUGAAACGUAUCUCUAAAGAAAAACAAUGGGCUUAGGCAGUAGCCAGCCUAGUACAAAGGAAGCCGAGCCCUGCACACUUCAAGAGAAAGAGGAACAUCCUGUUGAUGACACCAGACAGGUAA
rnacentral:lncRNA from 1 species